rnacentral:rRNA from 1 species
CCUACGUGAGGCUGCAGUGAGGAAUAUUGGUCAAUGGACGCAAGUCUGAACCAGCCAUGCCGCGUGCAGGAAGACGGCUCUAUGAGUUGUAAACUGCUUUUGUACGAGGGUAAACGCAGAUACGCGUAUCUGUCUGAAAGUAUCGUACGAAUAAGCAUCGGCUAACUCCGUGCCAGCAGCCGCGGUAAUACGGAGGAUUCAAGCGUUAUCCGGAUUUAUUGGGUUUAAAGGGUGCGUAGGCGGUCGGAUAAGUUAGAGGUGAAAUCCCGGGGCUCAACUUCGGCAUUGCCUCUGAUACUGUUCGGCUAGAGAGGAGUUGCGGUAGGCGGAAUGUAUGGUGUAGCGGUGAAAUGCUUAGAGAUCAUACAGAACACCGAUUGCGAAGGCAGCUUACCAAGCUACUUCUGACGUUGAGGCACGAAAGCGUGGGGAGCAAACAGGAUUAGAUACCCUUGUAGUC